CCCAGUUCGGAUUGCAGGCUGCAACCCGCCUGCAUGAAGUUGGAAUCGCUAGUAAUCGCGGAUCAGCAUGCCGCGGUGAAUACGUUCCCGGGCCCUGUACACACCGCCCGUCACACCAUGAGAGUCGGGAACACCCGAAGUCCGUAGUCUGACCGCAAGGGGGACGCGGCCGAAGGUGGGUUCGAUAAUUGGGGUGAAGUCGUAACAAGGUAUC
rnacentral:rRNA from 1 species